GACGAACGCUGGCGGCGUGCUUAACACAUGCAAGUCGAACGAAGAGCGACGGAAGCUUGCUUCUAUCAAUCUUAGUGGCGAACGGGUGAGUAACGCGUAAUCAACCUGCCCUUCAGAGGGGGACAACAGUUGGAAACGACUGCUAAUACCGCAUACGAUCUAAUCUCGGCAUCGAGGAUGGAUGAAAGGUGGCCUCUACAUGUAAGCUAUCACUGAAGGAGGGGAUUGCGUCUGAUUAGCUAGUUGGAGGGGUAACGGCCCACCAAGGCGAUGAUCAGUAGCCGGUCUGAGAGGAUGAACGGCCACAUUGGGACUGAGACACGGCCCAGACUCCUACGGGAGGCAGCAGUGGGGAAUCUUCCGCAAUGGACGAAAGUCUGACGGAGCAACGCCGCGUGAGUGAUGACGGCCUUCGGGUUGUAA
rnacentral:rRNA from 1 species